UAUAAAAUGUUAAAUUGUUAUGAAUAGUUGAUUAUUUAAGUGGAUAACUAGAAAUUACUUUAGAUGCAUGUUUGCAUUAACAAAAUAUUUAUCAUGUCGACAGCUACAUGAUUAUUCAUACAUAUUAUAGUGUAUAAUUUUGGGUGCAAGGGGUACUACUCAUACAAUAAUAAUACACCAUAUAUUAAUAUGUAUCUUAUAUAUAAUACAAAUAUUUAUUAAUUAAAAAUAUAUAUUGAAAUCUUAUUCGGUUCUCGAGCAUGCCCCAAACAAGUUUUGCCACCCAACCCGAACUACCAAUCGAUUAAAGUUUCCAUCUAACCCGCAAACCGAGUCGAUCCCAGGUUAAACUAAACACAAAAAUCAAAUAAGGUUUAGUUUUUCAACGGACUAAUGUACACCCCUAGUCAUAGCUGAAAACAUAAAACUCUACGGGCCAAGACAGAAUGAUUUAUAAUUUUUCAACAUACACAAUGCUUUAAAGGCAUCCCCAUUAAUUUUAUCAGGCAAAACAAACACAAAACCAUAUACUUUUUCUGCACAAAUUAUAAUCAAUUUUUUAAAGAUGUGAUCUUUUCUAUAAUAAAUCAAACACUAUAUGCAAAUGUCUUGCUUUCUUUACCCUUUUGAUUCUUGUCUAGUAAAUAUAUUCUACUUUUCAUUUUGGAUGAUGACAAAAAUAAAAAAUUUCUUGUGCAAAGCAUUCUCAUCAUUGAUCUAUUUCUACAAUCUGUCAUUGAACAAAAUCUUUGAUGGCUAAUAAACAUAAUCCAACUUCCUAAUGUAAAAAGAAUUAGCAACUGAAUCAAGUAUUAGAUUGGAAAUGAACUACACCCAGAAAAAACAUAUUAGAGUAAAAAAAAAUCAAUAUAUGCUCUAUUACUCUAAUUCUGUUCAGCACAGGGGCCACUUUUGUAAUAAAACAAAUUCAACAACAGGGUAUUUAUGUAAUUCAGUCGAGCAGAAGGACCAUUUAUUUUAAAAAAAAAAAAAAAAAAAAGAAGCAUGGGGACAAUUACUCUAGUUCUAUCCAGGGAAAAUAUAAGUGGUAACUUCUGUUUUAAUCUGAUUCUAGUUUUUAAGAGGCUUGACAUUGAUACUAGUAGAAACAUAGAAACAAUGACAAAUAAUGAAACAUACUACAUUAGUAGUCAAGCUGCCAAAUCUUUGUGCCAAUUGUAUGAAACAAUGACAAACUAUUAGUUAACUAGUCAUACACAUACACAAACAAUCAAGCGUAGUUAAACACAUAUGUAACAAACUAACAGUUAACUAGUUAAGCACUUAAACAUAUCUGAAAUUAUAUGUUGCAACUUGCAAUUAUCAAUCAUUCAAUAUUGCAUCUGAAAUUAGAAAUUUAUAAUGGUUCAAGGCUUCAAGCAACUACCUCUGUAAUAGUUAAACACUUAAAUCAUUUGUUGAACUUGUCGGGAAAGUGCUUGAAGAGUAAACAACACCAACUUCAACCAUUUGGUGAUACAACAUCAAACAAUAAAAUAAAGCAUAGUGCAUACAGUGGAGAAGAAAAGCGGGAACAUAUCGAAAAAAAUAGAGGAAUGGUUGACGAUUGCAAUUGUUUACCUGAGACGAAGUUGUAGCUUACCAUUCACCACAACCGAGGAGUGCUUUAGGAUACAGAUGGUCGAUGGGUACUUCUGGUCAGCAAUUAGAUUUUCCAUGCUCGAUGAGUCGAUGGAGAGGCGAGGGUGGACACCAGAUGUAGCUAGGGCAUGAACAUGAAGACUUGAUUUUGGGUUUGUAUAGUCACAC
rnacentral:lncRNA from 1 species